rnacentral:miRNA from 1 species
CGUAUGAGGACGAGGGGAGAGACGAGAAAGCCCUGGUCUGGUCAAUUUUGCAUUCUGAUUGGCUAACACGAUUUGUCUAAAAAUAACUGAACUUGACUGACCAGGGCUUUCUCGUCUCUCCCCUCGUCCCCAUAUGAA